GACGAACGCUGGCGGCGUGCCUAAUACAUGCAAGUAGAACGCUGAAGAGAGGAGCUUGCUCUUCUUGGAUGAGUUGCGAACGGGUGAGUAACGCGUAGGUAACCUGCCUGGUAGCGGGGGAUAACUAUUGGAAACGAUAGCUAAUACCGCAUAAAAUUGCUUAUCGCAUGAUAAUUAAUUGAAAGAUGCAAUUGCAUCACUACCAGAUGGACCUGCGUUGUAUUAGCUAGUUGGUGAGGUAACGGCUCACCAAGGCGACGAUACAUAGCCGACCUGAGAGGGUGAUCGGCCACACUGGGACUGAGACACGGCCCAGACUCCUACGGGAGGCAGCAGUAGGGAAUCCUCGGCAAUGGGGGGAACCCUGACCGAGCAACGCCGCGUGAGUGAAGAAGGUUUUCGGAUCGUAAAGCUCUGUUGUAAGAGAAGAACGGGUGUGAGAGUGAAAGUCACAGUGG
rnacentral:rRNA from 1 species